AGUAAUGGGGGUUUAGUUACAUUAUAUGAUCAUACAUUGCAAAGAUGGGGUACAUUAACGUUGUCGCAGGCUUAUGCAAUGUAUGAUAAUAUAAUGUAACUAAACCCCCAUUACU